rnacentral:rRNA from 1 species
AUUGAACGCUGGCGGCAGGCCUAACACAUGCAAGUCGAACGGCAACAGGAAGAAGCUUGCUUCUUUGCUGACGAGUGGCGGACGGGUGAGUAAUGUCUGGGAAACUGCCUGAUGGAGGGGGAUAACUACUGGAAACGGUAGCUAAUACCGCAUAACGUCGCAAGACCAAAGAGGGGGACCUUCGGGCCUCUUGCCAUCGGAUGUGCCCAGAUGGGAUUAGCUAGUAGGUGGGGUAACGGCUCACCUAGGCGACGAUCCCUAGCUGGUCUGAGAGGAUGACCAGCCACACUGGAACUGAGACACGGUCCAGACUCCUACGGGAGGCAGCAGUGGGGAAUAUUGCACAAUGGGCGCAAGCCUGAUGCAGCCAUGCCGCGUGUAUGAAGAAGGCCUUCGGGUUGUAAAGUACUUUCAGCGGGGAGGAAGGGAGUAAAGUUAAUACCUUUGCUCAUUGACGUUACCCGCAGAAGAAGCACCGGCUAACUCCGUG